rnacentral:tRNA from 1 species
GGGGUUGUAGCUCAGCGGUAGAGCACUUGCCUCACAUGUGAGAGGCCCUGGGUUUGAUCCUCAGCACCA